rnacentral:rRNA from 1 species
AUUGAACGCUGGCGGAAUGCUUUACACAUGCAAGUCGAACGGCAGCACGGACUUCGGUCUGGUGGCGAGUGGCGAACGGGUGAGUAAUGUAUCGGAACGUGCCCAGUCGUGGGGGAUAACGUAGUGAAAAUUACGCUAAUACCGCAUACGAUCUAUGGAUGAAAGCGGGGGAUCGCAAGACCUCGCGCGAUUGGAGAGGCCGAUAUCAGAUUAGGUAGUUGGUGGGGUAAAGGCCCACCAAGCCAACGAUCUGUAGCUGGUCUGAGAGGACGACCAGCCAAACUGGAACUGAGAUACGGUCCAGACGCCUACGGGAGGCAGCAGUGGGGAAUUUUGGACAAUGGGCGAAAGCCUGAUCCAGCCAUUCCGCGUGCAGGAUGAAGGCCCUCGGGUUGUAAACUGCUUUUGUACAGAACGAAAAGGUUUCUACUAAUACUAGGAGCUCAUGACGGUACUGUAAGAAUAAGCACCGGCUAACUACGUGCCAGCCGCCGCAGUAA